AUUGAACGCUGGCGGCAGGCUUAACACAUGCAAGUCGAGCGGGGUGAUGGUGCUUGCACUAUCACUUAGCGGCGGACGGGUGAGUAAUGCUUAGGAAUCUGCCUAUUAGUGGGGGACAACAUCUCGAAAGGGAUGCUAAUACCGCAUACGUCCUACGGGAGAAAGCAGGGGAUCACUUGUGACCUUGUGCUAAUAGAUGAGCCUAAGUCGGAUUAGCUAGUUGGUGGGGUAAAGGCCUACCAAGGCGACGAUCUGUAGCGGGUCUGAGAGGAUGAUCGGCCAGAGUGGGACUGAGACACGGCGCAGACUCCGACGGGAGGCAGCAGUGGGGAAUAUUGGACAAUGGGGGGAACCCUGAUCCAGCCAUGCCGCGUGUGUGAAGAAGGCCUUAUGGUUGUAAAGCACUUUAAGCGAGGAGGAGGCUUACCUAGUUAAUACCUGGGUUAAGUGGACGUUACUCGCAGAAUAAGCACCGGCUAACUCUGUGCCAGCCGCCGCAGUAA
rnacentral:rRNA from 1 species